UGCUUCCAUCCUUCAGCCCAGUGCUGCACACCUGCAAACCACUCACUAUUUGUGUAUUUAUUAAGCCUUAGAGACAGCACUUUUCAAAAGAAUAGAAUUGGGCUGGGUGCUGUGGCUUACGCCUGUAAUCCCACCACUUUAGGAGGCCGAGGUGGGCAGAUCACAAGGUCAGGAGAUCCUGACCAUCCUGGCCAACUUGGUGAAACCCUGUCUCUACUAAAAAUACAAAAAGUUAGCUGGGUGGGGUGGCGCUUGCCUGUAAUCCCAGCUACUUGGGAGGCUGAGGCAUGAGAAUCACUUGAACCAGGGAGUAGGAGGUUGAAGUGAGCCAAGAUCAUUGCACCACUGCACUCCAGCCUGGCAACAAAGUGAGACGUCUCAAAAAAAAAAGCAAAAGGAUAGAAUUAUUAGUGGGAAAGGAGGAAUUUCUAGUAGAGGGCCCAGUUUAUAAGCGGUCUUAGAUUUUAAAAAAAAUUGAUGGUGUCGUUCAGGAACAGGGAGUGCUAAGUAAGCACAGGGUACUCCAAGAGGAUUAAUGAGAUAUAAGGCCAAAAAGAUAGAUUAGAACCACAUGGUAGAGAGCCCUGAGUACCAGUGUAAGGCAUUGCACUGCUGCCUCUGUCCUGUCAUCUUAUGGCCCCGGGCCAUCCACUCAGGGUGGCAUGUAUGGCUUUGCUUCUCUUGAAAUCUACCACCUUCUUUGAAUACUACAAAGUUUAUUAAUCUAUUCUGUUAGCACAUGCUUCCUGAGUAUCUACAGCAUGUCAGCCACUGGUCUAGGUUCUAGAAGCCUAUAGAAAAUGUGGCAAACAAGGCUCUUGGCCUCAUAAAACUUACAUUUCCAUGGGAUAUAGCAAAAUAAACACAAAUAAAUCAACAACAGCAUAAACCAAUUGUGCCACAUGCUCAGAAGAAAUGAAGCACAACAUUGCGACUGUAACCAAGUUGCAGGAAGUACUUUAAAUGUGAUGGCUAAAGAAGACUUCUCUGAGGAGGUGACAUUUGAGCUGAGACCCACCCCCCCAAAAAAAAAAAAAAAAUUGAGCUGGAGCUGGCGCCACAGAGGGAUGGGAGAAGCUGGGCUCAGCCAAACAAAACUGCAAGUAGAAGUCUCUGGCGAUAAAAGAAUAAGAUACAAAAUUCAAAAAUGACCAGGGUAAACUCAGCCACGGAUAAAAAGAAAUGAGAAGGUCUCAUGAAGAAGUCUUUGUCAUUGGACAAAUUAAAAACAGGACAGAUCUGAACUAUGAUUAAAGAACAGAGGUCUCCACCGGGCGCAGCGGCUCAUGCCUGUAAUCCCAGCACUUUGGGAGGUGGAAGCAGGCAGAUCCUGAGGUCAGGAGAUGGAGACCAUCCUGGCUAACAUGGUGAAACCCCGUCUCCACCAAAGAUACAAAAAUUAGCCAGAUAGGGUGGCGAGCGCCUGUAGUCCCAGCUACGCGGGAGGCUGAGGCAGGAGAAUGGCGUGAACCCGGGAGGUGGAGGUUGCAGUGAGCCGAGAUUGUACCACCACACUCCAGUCUGGGUGACAGAGUGAGACUCUGUCUUAAAAAAUAAGGAACAGAGGUCUCUCAAUAUAUAGGUUAAGCUCAAUGGUUCUCAAACUUGAAUGAGCACAAGAAUCAUCCAGGAAGUCUGUUAGAAAUGCACAUUAUUGGGCCUCAUCCCAAGAAAUUAAGAGCAUUUUUAGACGAAUACCUUAGUUAGUUUUGAAGCGUCAUCCUCAGGACACAUUUGGAGAACCACUGAACUAAAGACUCAAGCAGGAAGGACAGCAGUGGGCACAGGAGGGGUGGGCUGGGACGUGGUGCCAGGGAGGAGAGUGAAUCAGAGGGAGGAAGUGAGGAGGCACCAUCAGCUAUCUGCUUCUACCUUGCCGUGACUGGCUCGUGUCUGACUUCUUUGUGCCCAGAUUGGCAAGCUGAGUCAUUAUGACAUUAGUGAAUGCUAAAGAACUCGGUUCUGGGAACCCUAGAAUACCUGAGGACAUCAGGAUGGAGAAUUGUUAAGAGAUGGAGGGAAAUUAUUGCUAAUGGGAGCCCAAUAAUAGUCAUCACACCCACAAUUCCCUGCAUCACAUCCUCUCUGAGAUUCAGGUUAGAAGACAACUCCUGCUCUCCUAGGAGGAUGAGAAGUUAAACAUAAUGCAUUUUCAACAGGCUUAAGGUCCCACUGGACCAGCAGGAUGUCAUUGUUGGUCUGGCGUGGGCUGCUGAGGAGUGCUUCAAAACAGGGUAAAGGCAGUGGCAAAACAAUUGGCUGUGUCAUUCCAAACCCAUCCAAGCAAAUUACACAGAAGGCAAGCAAGUGUCAUUAUGAUUUAUAUAAAUAUAUGUUGUAGAUUUCAUUAAGAUUAAGCCAGCUUUGCAGUUAUCACUUGCUGGGUUGUUUGCUUGGUCCUUAAUCUUUAUUUGCAACUGCCGAUUAGCCUCAUAAAGAACUCCUGUGGCCAGGAGCAAGCCUGAGCCUCACCUUGCUUUCUUUUCUUUAGGAUUUCAGUCAAGGAGAUGCCUACCUGGGGACAGAAUCUGGAAAAGACCUCAAAAUAGAUCUUCUCAAGGCACCCGGAGGCAAACGAGGCAUAGACACACUAGGAUAAAAGCUGUCUUCAAGUCAGAGCCCUCCCUAGGGCUCCAGGCAGAGCAAAGGACCAGAUCUCCCCCUCUGCACUCCCCACCUACAGAUGAGCACCCAGGCAGGGGACACUCAAAGCAGGUGAAUGAGACAGGGGGGGCAUGCAGAAGCCUUGAUCUCCGAGUGGUCUGUGGCCGUGAGGUGGAGAGAUACAACUGCUUUGUCGAGGACCCAAGGGAAAACCGAGCCGUGGCUGUCUGAGUCUUAUCAAAGGAAAAACGCUCAGGUCCCCCGCAUGGCAAAGCUGGAGGGCAAGCACACAUUUGAGGUCAUCUGUACCCAUCAGCCUCCCAAGGCACAGGACAGGAAAAAAAGCACACAUAGAUCAGGAGGGAGAGAAGGAAGACAUCCAUUACACUGGAGAAAAACUGUAUGAAUUUGCUCUUAUGGUAUGAUCUAAAAUAUUAAAUUUGAGAAAAAGUAGAAAUCAA